rnacentral:rRNA from 1 species
GGAUGAGCCCGCGGCCUAUCAGCUAGUUGGUGAGGUAAUGGCCCACCAAGGCGACGACGGGUAGCCGGCCUGAGAGGGUGACCGGCCACACUGGGACUGAGACACGGCCCAGACUCCUACGGGAGGCAGCAGUGGGGAAUAUUGCACAAUGGGCGAAAGCCUGAUGCAGCAACGCCGCGUGAGGGACGACGGCCUUCGGGUUGUAAACCUCUUUUAGCAGGGAAGAAGCGAAAGUGACGGUACCUGCAGAAAAAGCACCGGCUAACUACGUGCCAGCAGCCGCGG